GAUGAACGCUGGCGGCGUGCCUAAUACAUGCAAGUCGAGCGAAUGGAUUAAGAGCUUGCUCUUAUGAAGUUAGCGGCGGACGGGUGAGUAACACGUGGGUAACCUGCCCAUAAGACUGGGAUAACUCCGGGAAACCGGGGCUAAUACCGGAUAACAUUUUGAACCGCAUGGUUCGAAAUUGAAAGGCGGCUUCGGCUGUCACUUAUGGAUGGACCCGCGUCGCAUUAGCUAGUUGGUGAAGUAACGGCUCACCAAGGCAACGAUGCGUAGCCGACCUGAGCGGGUGAUCGGCCACACUGGGACUGAGACACGGCCCAGACUCCUACGGGAGGCAGCAGUAGGGAAGCUUCCGCAAUGGACGAAAGUCUGACGGAGCAACGCCGCGUGAGUGAUGAAGGCUUUCGGGUCGUAAAACUCUGUUGUUAGGGAAGAACAAGUGCUAGUUGAAUAAGCUGGCACCUUGACGGUACCUAACCAGAAAGCCACGGCUAACUACGUGCCAGCAGCCGCCGUAA
rnacentral:rRNA from 1 species